GGAGGGGCCAAGAGAGAAGGAGACACAGAAUCUGAAGCAGGCUCCAAGCUGUCAACACAGAGCCCGAUGCGGAGCUCGAGCUCACAAACCACAAGAUCAUGACCUGAGCUGAUGUCAGAUGCCUGACCACCCGAGCCACCCAGGUACCCCUGAAUUUUACACUUUAAGUGGGUGAAUUAUAUGGUAUGUGAAUUAUAUUUCCAUAAAACUGUUACUAAAAAACAAAGAACAAACAAGUUUAGAGCCCCAGGAGACAGUCCUCAUGAACAAAGGUCUUAGUGCUUUCCAAUAAUUUUUUCUCCCACCUGGUAUAGUGAGAGAAGCCCUGGAUGAACACCCCUAAAAAUCCUAGAGAGUCACUGUGCUUUUGCUUAUGUCUCCCUGAGCAGCUGUGGGGAGUUCCGUUGGCCUCACUGUACCUCAGUUUCCCUGCCAUCAGUAUGAACAAGCUCGCGGAGCAGAUAACCUAUAAGGGUCUUCUGUGUCCCACACAAGAGUGCAGCAUCCACGGCCCCUGCCUGCCCACGGGCCUGUAGGCACAGGGCUCAGGAAGCAGGCAGUGGACGCAGCCACCUGCCCCCUCUCCCAGGGCACAUCCGGCCCACUUUCCUUUUAUUGCAAUUUAAUUGAUGUUCAAUCAGAUGAGUACCAGGAAUCUGUAGGCUAUAACAGCCUGGGCAGAAACAGAAGCCUUGUAGCGGAACUAAACCAACAAAAUCUGCCUCUUGAGCAGAUCCAGGAGCCCUGGGUCCUGCCACAGGGCGUCUCUUAGGGAAGGAGAUGAGGGGCUCCGCUGCUCAGUUGACCUCAAAGGAGGCACUUUGCUCUGGGCCUGAGGGCUGCCCUCAGCCUGGCCUGAUGUUCAGUUCAGCUCCUAUGCCACGUGUGCCCAUCUCCUACCACCCCAGGCUCUGCCUCCUCCACCCCAGCCCUCCUUGUCUGGAAGUGAAUCCUUGGUGACUGAAAGACAGGACUGCCUUGGGGAUGUGGUGGGGGCAAGGACGGCAGAUUCUAGGACCACGCAGCGGUCAGCCAUGCUUAAGACAGUCUAGAGUGAUGGAAACAACUAGAAAAACAUCAGACACUGAGGUGAUUCAGAAAAGAGCCUUCCCUCAUGGAAGUAGGGAAAGAGACACAAGAUCAUAGAAGCACAACAAAGGAUCAGAGUUGCUAUACAAGAUGGCACUCUUAAAAAACAAACCACCACCGGUGGUGCAGCUCGAUGAGUGGGGUGUGGAGAGCACAGAGGGAUCAGCUCAGAUACUGUCCUCACAGAGCCUGCCAUCCAGUGAGGGAGACAGAUGCAAAUAGUGCGAUUUGGGAGACAAAUGGGUGUGUGUGUGUGUGUGUGUGUGUGUGUGUGUGUGUGUGUGUGUUGGGGGAACAACCUUAGGAGAGAGGACCUCAGCAAAGGUCUUUGCAAGAAGGCAAUAUCUGAGCUGACCUUUAAGGAUGAGCAGGAUUUGGACGGGGAGGUUGAGGAGAGGCAGGUCAUUUCAGACAGUGGGAACAGCAUGUGCCGUGGCAUGGAAGUGUAAGUGUCUGACAUAUUUGGGGAGCUGUGAAUAAUCAUGGGGGGGAGAGAGAAUUCAAGAACCGUUGGGAAGGGCUGGAAAUAAGACUACAGCAGGAAGGGCCAUGCAUGAUUGUGGAAAGCCCUUCAUCUUGGCUUUCAAAGGAUAUAAUCUUCUUAGCUUGCUCUGCAUAAAUUGCAGGUGCUGGUUGAAGGAUGACUCAGGUUCUAGAUGAGAUGUGUGCAGACAGAGGUGAUACAACAACAAUCGUGUGUGUUGACUGUUAACUCACCAAUGCUUAUUGGGUCCCCAGGUGUAGUAUAUAGUGUGUGAGGCAUGAAGGAAUAUAGUCCUGACCUCUGGCUACUUGCAAUUUUGGAACAAGAUGGAAAUACUCAGGUGACUAGUUACAAUGUAUUUAGGUGCCAGGUGAGUGAUGUAAGAGUCCAGGAGAAGUCAGUGGGAGUUGAAGCGUCAAGGACAUCUUCCAGGAGCAGUGGGGAUUUGAACUAGGCGGCGAAGGAAAGGGAGCAUUUAAAUAGACGGAGAGAGAAAGCAAAGGGAAGAGAACAUCCUGGCUGGAGAAGAGGGUGGCACUGAGAGCGGGCUGGAGUGGGGGGUUGGGUGACAUGGUCGCAGGCGUCGGCAAGUGCAGAAGGAAGGGCAGCUGGGAGUUGUGGUAGACCGAUUAAGUGCAGGACCUUUUAUCUAAAGAGUCUCAGCAACACUGUGAGACAGACAUUUUCACACCCAUUUUAAAGAUGAGGAAACCAAGUCUCAGAGGGCGCACAUGGCAUAUUCAAGUCACACGGUUGAUAAUUAGAGGCCUGGACUGUCUACGUCUUUCUACUUAACCACUUGCUUCCUUUCAGACACAGAUGGGAAGGUGGUACAGGUAGCAUGGGCUGACUGGGUGUGGCUUCUGCACACACACACACACACACACACACACACACACAAUCACUGGGGGGCCAAUUCACACUGCAUAUAUGGCCCAUCCUGCACUGUGUCUCCCAACCUCAUUAGGACAUGGGACCAUCGUCAUUUAGGAGACUUUUGCCUUUCACUCUAGCCCAAGCUGUGCCAUGCUCCAUACCUCCUUUCAGGAUUCAGUAGAGGUAUGGAAAGGGGAAAAAGAAAUGUGAUGCCUGAAACAAAAUACCCCAUCGAGCUGACCACUAAAUAGCACUUAGACCCCAAGUAUACACACAGCUGCUUUAUGUAAUGAAGGCUAUAGACCAUGUUCCUGGAUAUAAAAUAACAAACCACAUAUAACGUUCUACAUUGCUAUGUAAUUAGCACGGAUCUGUGAGUGUGCGAGCUGACCAGGGUGAGGGAGGGGGGCUUGGGCCUCGAGCACAGUAAGCCGUGGAGAAAAGAACAUGUGCUGUGGGGCCAGAAAGACUGGAGUUUGAACCUUGCUUCCUCUCUUUGUAUCCCUAAGACCGUGGGCCACUAUUUACACUCUAAAACUUCUAAUUCAUAUCUGUCAACAGGAGUAAAAGUAAUGCCUGUAGAAAAUGGUUGUGCCCUUCCUGUCCCUUCGGGGACAUUUAGUGAUAGCUGAAGACAUUUUUGGUUUUCAUAACUGGGGACGUGCUACUGGCAGCUAGUGGGUAGAGGCAGGGAUGCUGUUAAGCAUCCUACCGUGAGUAGGGCAGUUCCCACAACAAAGAAUUAGUCCACCCAAAAUAUCAGUCAUACUAAGAUUGAAGAAUCCUGCCUUACAGAAUUGCUAUUUCGAGGACAUAAUCUUUACUAACUUGUAUUGAGAAUGACUGUGUGCCCCGCACCAUUCUAUCACUUUAUUUAAAUGUGUCCCAUCUCACUUGUUCAUAGUCAAUUGAUGAGGGAGAUACUAUUAUUAUCCUUAUGUUACAGGUGCAGAAACUGAAGCCCAAAAUCUGCCCAAAGUCACACAGCUAGUUAUCGGUGGAGCCAGGGUUUGCCACAAGGCAGUGUGGCUCCAGAGAAGGAUGGAGCUCACGCUUAGCAGGUGCCUGCUUCAGGGACUGGUGCUUGGGAGUGAUGGCGACUAUCAGAGAGCAUGAGAGGGGUCAUUCAUUCAUUUAUGCUUUGCAUGUGUGUUGCGAGCCUAAUCGAUCUUGGUGCUAAAGAAUUGGUGAACAAGAUAGGUAGAGUCUUAGCUCACACAGACCUUACUUUCUAGUUAAUGAAGAACAAUAAUAUAGAAGUAACCAUUACCCGUGGAGAUAGUAGAAGUGAUGGAGUGUCUGGUGAAUGAUGAGAAGUUUGCCAGGAAAAGAUCUGGGGAAAGAACAUUCCCAGCGGAGGGUGAAGCCCUAAAAGAGAAAGCCACGUUGGCGUGUUUAGGAAACAGAGAGAAGUCCAGCAAAGCCAGACGUGUAGGGCACAAGAACACAUUUUUAGAACAUGGUUCAGACUGUGUUGUGGAGGUGGGUGAGGACCUUCAGGGGUCCAGGAAGGGCACUAGGGCAGUACUUAGGGUGAGGAUGGUGGUGGCUCUGUCCACGGAGCAGAUUUGGAUCAUACAGAGUUAGAGCCAAAGGUGGCACAUGUGACAUGGGGGUGAGGGGGACAGGAAUCAAGGACAAUGCUGAGGUUUUUGUUCCAAGCAGCUGGCUGCAUUCACAGAGAGGGGAAGGCUGAGUAAAAGGAAGGUAACGAGAAUCCAAUUUUAGGUCAUGUUGGAUAUGAGCUGCCUACUGGGGUCCAUGUGGCAGUGCUGGGAGACGGCUUACAAAUGAGCCUAGAGCUCAGCGGAGAGGUCCAGGAUGGAAGGAUCCCUUUAGGCUCCAUUGCAUAGGAUGAUAUUUAAAACUAAGGGCUCAUCUGAAAGACAGAGAUUGAGAAUUAAGGAAAGCCUGCGUCUAAGCCCAGAGGACCUGAUCAUUUCUGGUUCGAGAGAGAAGACUUCACCCAAAGCAACAGAAGUAGAAGAAAUCCCAGGAGAGAGAGGUCAAGAUAUCCAGUGAAAUAAACCAGGGAAGUGAGCAUUAGAUUUGACUACAGGAAGGUUGCCAGGAGCCAUUUCAGUGGACGGCCGGGGACAGAAGCUCAAUGGGUUGAGAACAGAGAGGGAGGAGAGGAAGCAGCAACAACCAGUUCAGACAACUCCUUCUUGGGUUUUGUGGAGAAGGGUAAAGCAGUGGAGUUGCAUAGGAACAUAGGGUUCAUGGAGAGACUUUUUAAAACAUGAGUCUUAUAUCGUGUUUCUAUGCUGGUAUGAAGCAUCUAGCCGAGAGGAAGGAACUUCCGGUUUUAGGGAGAGAGGGCUCCACUGGAGAAGGCCUUGAUAAGCACUAGAGAAAGCAAGGGGCUUGAGAUCCGGAGACAAUGGGCAGGCUAAUCCUUGUUAGGACAUUUCAUUCUGUUGUUUACACCAGGGAAGGCAGCAAGUAUGUGAAUGAUGUGCAUGGUGGAUAAAGUCAUUGUGAAGUAAAUACUUGUACUUUCUCAGAGGAACAUCAGCACCCUGACCUGGGCUACUGGUCAGCCUCUAGCCCUGACCACCGAUCCAGACUGAACUCUGCCCCCUGGACUGAAUAUCUAAUCCUAUCAACCAUCUCUCUUUGUUCACAAGGGAGCCACUGGGAGAGCCCAUGGAUGAUGACUCAACAUAACCCAUCUGUAUAGCUGAAAAGAAUGUUUGGGACAGACGUUCAGCCGCACCAGGCUUCAUCAACAGAUGAGGGCUGCCUUCAAGAUAAUCUCAAAAAGGGGAGUUCCCAGGACCUGUCAGAGGAGGGGCUGUUCUGAGUAGAACCAUUUGUGUGGAGUGUCUGAAUAGAAGGAGCCAAGAACAGAAGGCUAUCACAGUGGACCAAAAUUUGGAAUGGGAGACCCAGGCUGAGGCAGGAUAGAGAGAUUAUAGAGAUUGUCAGUAAGGACUCAAGCAGAGCUAAGUCAAGUGUAAAGGGGUUAAGUGGGGCUAUUGGUGGUUCAGCUAAUUCUGGGAGCCCUGCAUGCUUAUCCACUGUUUCCUUUUAUUUGGGCCCUUGCAGGAUCAAUGUGGUUUGUGCAAGUCAAUGUAUACAUUUCCCUGGUGAUUAGGAGUUUGUAACUGCAAAAUACGUGCUAGCUUAAUCCCUCUAGAUCUCAAUUUCCUCAUCUGUGAAGGGAAAACAAUAGCAAUGCAUAGCUCACAGAUUGGCAUGGGGGUCAAGCUGAUGGAUGUGAAAGCACUGUGUGUAAAGGGCUGUGAAUAUUACUUUUAUGAUUAUUAGUAAUAAUACCAAUAAGAAGAGAACUCAAAAGUAUUUCCUCUCCUAGGAUAAACAUGGUCUUCUAGAAUGUCAUAAAUGAGCAUGGUCUUCUAGAAUGUCAUAAAUGAGCAUGAGUCCUGUGCGACGUGGACACUUUAUGAAGAAGUUGUGGGUGUCUGUGGCAUAGUGGCCCGCACUGGAUAGUUGGGUAGGUUGUACCAUGCACAAGGGUGCUCUGCUGAGCAGGUGAGUGGGCACUGACAUCCAGCCAGCAGCAAGUGGGCUGCAUCUAUGUUUGAUUCCACAAGGCACUCUACAAGCCAGCAGUGGCUCCAAGGGCACCCACCAGCACACUUCUGUAAAUGUUUAGAAUCACUUGUCCUUUGCUUGCCAAAACCGGUAACGGGGAGUCAGUUGACUUUCUUCAGCGAUGGACAUUUUCAUAACAACUUUCCCAUCUGUAUCUCCAGUGACAGGCAGUCUCUCCUCUACUUACAUGCCCUGCCUUCCUUUCAAACUCACCAUAUCCGUAUUCAAAACUCCACUUUUCUCAAUUCAGAAUUUGGGUUGGAUUCUCUACUUCUCACCUGCUGUGUUUGAUACUCCUUUUCAUCUAUCCCACCUGAAUGCUGCUUAUGACAUCGAGUGACA
rnacentral:lncRNA from 1 species